GGGGCUGUAGCUCAGUGGCAGAGUACUUGUUUUUCAUGCAGAAGAUCCUAGGUUCAAUUUCCAGCCUCUCCA